UGUUCCUGCAAAUAUCUCCAUAGAUCUUAGAAAACUGUUUCUUGAUUUAAGGCGUUGGCGUGUCGGUUGAGAGAGAGAAUGUAAGGAUAGAAAGAGAAAGAAAAAGAGAUAGAAGGAAGGAAAUAAAGAAGGAGGAAGAAAGAGAGGAUGGAAAAAAAGGAUGGAGAAAGAGAAAAUGAGCGAGAGAAAGAAAGAAAAAGAGAAAUGCAGAGAGAGAGAGAAAGAAAAAAGGAAGGAAAGAGAAAAAGAAGGGGGUUUCAGCCCUACCUGCCAAGAGUCUUAAUUCUUUCAGUUGCAUUAAAGGCCUUUGAGGCCCAGCUGCAGCAAUGUUUUUUUCGAACCCAACGCACAGCUGGCCUUUCAGCGUUUAAUUUAGGAUCUGAAUAAUUCUCCAGAUGAGUGGGAACCAUGAGUGCCAUAUAUAUAGACAUAGACAUACAUGUGUGCAUUGCCUUCCCGCCCCUAUAUUGCCUGAUUCUGCAGAUGUGCAGCUACUUCUAAGGGCCUGUGUUUUGCUUUAUUUUACUGCCGACCCGUUUUCAAUGCCCUUUGGGUUUUCGCAUUCAUGCAGCGGCCGCCCUUUGCGUCUCCAGAAAAAGGGGAUGGACUAUAUUUCCACUAGAAAUGGAGUGUCCGACGUCCAUUUGGUCGGUUUUCUGCAAUCUCUUUGCAUCUCCAUUAGACUACUGCGGCACUUCAGUACCUUUGACUGUAUUCUGCAGACUUCUGGGACUUGUAGUUUGUGGCCUUGGAAGCUUAGCAUAUUCUUCUCCAUGCAAUUCAAGAAGAAUCUGAACUACCUGAAAGGAAGGGCUCUGGGGAACCUGGACGCUUGCGCAUUUUGUGAACUUGUAGUCAAUUCUAAUAAACAUACUUUGCAUUGUUUUAUCCAUGUUUCCAAGUGGCCUCUGUGUCCAAGUCACUUCACUUUUUCUCUUGGAAAGAAUGUUUGAAUAUAUUGGAAAAGUAUUGGGAGAA
rnacentral:lncRNA from 11 species